rnacentral:rRNA from 1 species
GACAACGCUGGCGGCGUGCCUAACACAUGCAAGUCGAACGGGGGUAUUUAUUUCGAUGAAUACCUUAGUGGCGAACGGGUGAGUAACGCGUGAGCAACCUAUCCUUAAGAGGGGGAUAACAUCUGGAAACAGAUGCUAAUACCGCAUAAGACCACACUGCCGCAUGGCAGAGGGGUCAAAGGAGCAAUCCGUUUAAGGAGGGGCUCGCGUCCCAUUAGAUAGUUGGUGAGGUAACAGCUCACCAAGUCAGCGAUGGGUAGCCGAGCUGAGAGGCUGAUCGGCCACACUGGAACUGAGACACGGUCCAGACUCCUACGGGAGGCAGCAGUGGGGAAUAUUGGGCAAUGGGGGGAACCCUGACCCAGCAACGCCGCGUGAGGGAAGAAGGCCUUCGGGUUGUAAACCUCUGUCAUUAGGGAAGAAGAAAGUGACGGUACCUAAUGAGGAAGCCCCGGCUAACUACGUG